rnacentral:rRNA from 1 species
CCUACGGGUGGCUGCAGUGAGGAAUAUUGGUCAAUGGGCGUAAGCCUGAACCAGCCAAGUCGCGUGAGGGAUGAAGGUUCUAUGGAUCGUAAACUUCUUUUAUAAAGGAAUAAAGAGUGGGACGUGUCCUAUUUUGUGUGUACUUUAUGAAUAAGGAUCGGCUAACUCCGUGCCAGCAGCCGCGGUAAUACGGAGGAUGCGAGCGUUAUCCGGAUUUAUUGGGUUUAAAGGGUGCGGAGGCGGGAGAUUAAGUCAGGGGUAAAACUUUGGGGCUCAACCCCAACACGGCCUUUGAAACUGGUUUUCUAGAGUUGGAUGGAGGUAGGCGGAAUUCGUGGUGUAGCGGUGAAAUGCAUAGAUAUCACGAAGAACCCCGAUUGCGAAGGCAGCAUACCAA